GAUGAACGCUGGCGGCGUGCCUAAUACAUGCAAGUCGAGCGAACAGAUGAGGAGCUUGCUCCUCUGACGUUAGCGGCGGACGGGUGAGUAACACGUGGAUAACCUACCUAUAAGACUGGGAUAACUUCGGGAAACCGGAGCUAAUAUCGGAUAAUAUAUUGAACCGCAUGGUUCAAUAGUGAAAGACGGUUUUGCUGUCACUUAUAGAUGGAUCCGCGCCGCAUUAGCUAGUUGGUAAGGUAACGGCUUACCAAGGCAACGAUGCGUAGCCGACCUGAGAGGGUGAUCGGCCACACUGGAACUGAGACACGGUCCAGACUCCUACGGGAGGCAGCAGUAGGGAAUCUUCCGCAAUGGGCGAAAGCCUGACGGAGCAACGCCGCGUGAGUGAUGAAGGUCUUCGGAUCGUAAAACUCUGUUAUUAGGGAAGAACAAAUGCGUAAGUAACUAUGCACGUCUUGACGGUACCUAAUCAGAAAGCCACGGCUAACUACGUG
rnacentral:rRNA from 1 species